GACGAACGCUGGCGGCGUGCUUAACACAUGCAAGUCGAACGGAAAGGCCCUGCUUUUUGGGGGUCCCCGGUGGCCGACGGGUGAAUAACCCUUGAAUCACCCGCCCUUUGCUUUGGGGUCACUUCAAGGAACCGGGGCUAAUGCCGGAUAGGGGCUCCUGCUUCCUUGGGGGGGGUGGGAAAUUUCGGCUGGUGGGUAUGGGCUGGCGGCUUAUCAGCUUGGUGGGGGGGUGGUGGCUUACCAAGGGUUUGUCGGGUAGCCGGCCUGAGAGGGUGACCGGCCACAGUAGGACUGAGAUACGGCCCAGACUCCUACGGGAGGCAGCAGUGGGGAAUAUUGCACAAUGGGCGGAAGCCUGAUGCAGCAACGCCGCGUGCGGGAUGACGGCCUUCGGGUUGUAAACCGCUUUCGCCUGUGACGAAGCGUGAGUGACGGUAAUGGGUAAAGAAGCACCGGCUAACUACGUG
rnacentral:rRNA from 1 species